CCGGUGAACAGGUCAGGGACAGGUAGCACGUCCGGUGAACAGGUCAGGGACAGGUAGCACGUCCGGUGAACAGGUCUGGGACAGGUAGCACGUCCGGUGAACAGGUCAGGGACAGGUAGCACGUCUGGUGAACAGGUCUGGGACAGGUAGCACGUCCGGUGAACAGGUCAGGGACAGGUAGCACGUCUGGUGAACAGGUCUGGGACAGGUAGCAUGUCCGGUGAACAGGUCAGGGACAGGUAGCACGUCCGGUGAACAGGUCAGGGACAGGUAGCACGUCUGGUGAACAGGUCUGGGACAGGUAGCACGUCCGGUGAACAGGUCAGGGACAGGUAGCACGUCUGGUGAACAGGUCUGGGACAGGUAGCAUGUCCGGUGAACAGGUCAGGGACAGGUAGCACGUCCGGUGAACAGGUCAGGGACAGGUAGCACGUCUGGUGAACAGGUCUGGGACAGGUAGCACGUCCGGUGAACAGGUCAGGGACAGGUAGCACGUCUGGUGAACAGGUCUGGGACAGGUAGCAUGUCCGGUGAACAGGUCAGGGACAGGUAGCACGUCCGGUGAACAGGUCAGGGACAGGUAGCACGUCUGGUGAACAGGUCAGGGACAGGUAGCACGUCUGGUGAACAGGUCAGGAACAGGUAGCACGUCCGGUGAACAGGUCAGGGACAGGUAGCAUGUCUGGUGAACAGGUCAGGGACAGGUAGCACGUCCGGUGAACAGGUCAGGGACAGGUAGCACGUCUGGUGAACAGGUCAGGGACAGGUAGCACGUCUGGUGAACAGGUCAGGGACAGGUAGCAUGUCUGGUGAACAGGUCAGGAACAGGUAGCACGUCCGGUGAACAGGUCAGGGACAGGUAGCACGUCUGGUGAACAGGUCAGGGACAGGUAGCACGUCUGGUGAACAGGUCAGGAACAGGUAGCACGUCCGGUGAACAGGUCAGGGACAGGUAGCACGUCUGGUGAACAGGUCAGGGACAGGUAGCACGUCUGGUGAACAGGUCAGGAACAGGUAGCACGUCUGGUGAACAGGUCAGGAACAGGUAGCACGUCCGGUGAACAGGUCAGGGUUCCAUAGCCGCAGGGAGAACAGUUGUAACUGGAGCAGCAGCGAUGUCAAUGAUUCAAUCAGCAUUGAUGUAAUUGUAAUCUGAAAGUCAAAUUCUUACUGUUAUAAUGUCCCUAUA